rnacentral:rRNA from 1 species
AUCCCAUCCCGAACUCAGCAGUGAAACGAUGUAUCGCCGAUGGUAGAGUGGGGUUUCCCCAUGUGAGAGUAGGUCAUCGUCAAGA